UGGGGAAUAUUGCACAAUGGAGGGAACUCUGAUGCAGCGACGCCGCGUGAACGAAGAAGGCUUUCGAGUCGUAAAGUUCUUUUAUAUGGGAAGAUAAUGACGGUACCAUAAGAAAAAGCCCCGGCUAACUACGUGCUAGCAGCCGCGGUAAUACGUAGGGGGCUAGCGUUGUCCGGAAUCACUGGGCGUAAAGGGUUCGCAGGCGGAAAUGCAAGUCAGGUGUAAAAGGCAGUAGCUUAACUACUGUAAGCAUUUGAAACUGCAUAUCUUGAGAAGAGUAGAGGUAAGUGGAAUUUUUAGUGUAGCGGUGAAAUGCGUAGAUAUUAAAAAGAAUACCGGUGGCGAAGGCGGCUUACUGGGCUCAUUCUGACGCUGAGGAACGAAAGCGUGGGUAGCAAACAGG
rnacentral:rRNA from 1 species